ACGAAGGGUGCUAGCGUUGUUCGGAAUUACUGGGCGUAUAGGGCGCGUAGGCGGCACAUCAAGACAGGGGUGAAAUCCCGGGGCUCAACCUCGGAAUUGCCUUUGUGACUGAUGAGCUUGAGUAUGAAAGAGGAUGACGGAAUACCCAGUGUAGAGGUGAAAUUCGUAGAUAUUGGGUAGAACACCGGUGGCGAAGGCGAUCAUCUGGUUCAUAACUGACGCUGAGGUGCGAAAGCGUGGGGAGCAAACAG
rnacentral:rRNA from 1 species